GGCUCAGACAAGGAUAAGAGCCAGCGGCUGCCACAGCCACAGAAAAGUCUGGAGAAGAAGGAAUCAGGGUGGGGGAACAUUGCUAUAGUGGACAAGGGAGAAGAGUUUUUCCAGAACUGUGACAGUGAGGGAAAGGGAUUCAUUACACGCACUGAUUUGAGGAGGCUACACAAAAACUUGCCGCUCUCUGCUGAAGAACUGGAAAAGGUCUUUGAUUCCCUAGACCUUGACCGAAAUGGCUACCUCACCCUGGGAGAGUUUUCCUCAGGAUUUAGUAACUUUCUUCAUGGACGGAGGAUCUCCAAGACAGAGGAUCUAAUGCCUGCAGCCUCUCUUAAGAUUACAGAAGCUCUGCAACAAAACCAAUGUGACGUACAGCUAUCAGGAAAUGAGGACGAGGAGGAGAGAGACAUUUCAGCAUGUUGAUGGAGAGUUUGGGCUCUAGCAUUGUCUUUGAAGACCCGAGUGAGGUCCGCAGUCUUUGGACUCAGCUCAGGAAAGAUGAACCUCACCUCUUGUCCAACUUUGAGGAGUUUUGGAAUUGAGAAUUGAGAAUUUGUGGAAAGCAGCCAAAGAUGACAAUGAAAUUCUCAGAUUAUAUGAGGAAAUGGAGCAACAGAUCAUUAAUGAAAAAGAUAGAGCACUUCUGAAGGACUCUGAAAAUCUACAGCUGCGCCGUCAAGAACUUCAGGAGAAGCUCCACAGUAAAGAACAGGAUUUGGAGCAGCUUUUUCAGAAACAGAGGGUGAGUGCUGCAGAAAAAUUUUUUUAAUCAUAAAAAAAUCUUAAAAUUGCUUCUGGAAUCUAGAAAAUGAUCAGACCAGCACCAGACUUAAAACUGAGCUGUAAUUACUAAAUUAUAAAGUAUGAAUGAAAAUUUGUAUUUUGUGUGACUGCUAAGAGAACUCACAUCUUGCCACUGUAGCCCUUUAUUUUUUUUCCUGUGUACAUUUCCAUGAAUGGAGCACAACAUUCUAGGUCAUCAAGCAAAAGCUUAGGCUACAAGCCGUUAAGUCAAUCCAGGAGUUUUACAAUUUGGCUUGAGCUAGAACAUUCACAGAAGGGAUGAUUUUAGAGCAGGGUCAAGAAAACCUCCUGUGAAACUAUCAACAUUACUGCAAUGAUACUUAAGAGGACACAUGACUUGAACAUCUCUCACAUCCUAAUGGACACUUUCAGGAAUGCAGAAGUAAACUAUUGCAGUAUAAACUUCUUCAGCAGUGAAUGGGAGACCACAGCUAUUUGCUCCAACAGUUGAGAAAAGAAUCCACUAUUGCAUUUCCACAACUUUUCAAAAGAGGAAAAAAACAGAGAGAGAUUACUACAGUCAAAAGAACUUGACAUGAACAUGAGAGUAAAUGACGACUCAAAUUCAACUGUUUCUACAUCUUAAUUUAAUUAUAUUUAAUAAGCUAAUUUAAGUUUAUUAAAUUACAUAAACUUUAAUUUCUAUAAUGUAUACCAAAUGUUUGUUUAUUGAUCUAUCUUAAUCACAAAGUAUUGGACAUUGUGUGGUGCCGUAUGGCCAAAUUUUAAUUAGUUAUAUGUAUAUAUAUAUAUAUAUAUAUAUAUAUAUAUAUAUGUGUGUGUGUGUGUGUGUGUGUGUGUGUGUGUGUGUGUGUGUGUGUGUUAAUUGUUUUGACAGUGUUGAAGAAAAUAUGUUCUACAUAUCUACAUACAAUUUAUUCAUUUCAAUUCAGUUCAAAAUUUUACUUCCAAUGGGAUGAGGACAAAUCAAAUUACAAUUCAAUUCAUCAGUUGAAAGAAAUUAUUAUAUUCUGAAUUUUGCUGAAUCCUGUUUAAAAUAAUUUCUCCUAUAUUUGUUAAUUUCAUUGAAACAGUGAAACUGUCAAACUUUGCUGUUCCUUUGAGCAACUGUUUUUUAGCUAUCAAGUUAAUUACAUGUCCAGUAAAUUAUAUGUCUUGCUUAUUUAUUAAUCGAGCAAAUUAAGUAAAUAGCAUUAUUAUUAUUAAUACACGGUCAAAUAAUAAUAAUAAAAAGAAAUCAGUCAAAAAUUUCUGCUAUGCAUUUAAUUUCAUUUAAAAAAGGUAUGAAAGAACAUUAAAAAAUCUGAAUAUAAAAUUCAAAGUGAUAUAAGAUCACUUUUUGAAAUCAAUUAAAUAAUAAACUAAAUAAAAAUACAUGCAAUCUGGAGUACAAAUAUAUUUGAAAUAACAAAAACAUGAAGACACUGAAUCUUCAGUAACACUGUAUGUUCUCAUAAACUCUUCUCAGAUCCAGAAACUGUAAUAUGAUGUCAGAGGCAGUGGGUGUGGCCAUUGAGUCUUACUGUUCCUCAUUUCUUCGACUCCUCCCCCACAUCA